UGUCCACAUGCUCCUCUGCUGUUCUGGCUGCUACAUGAGUAGCUUUCACUGUACACUCCAUUGUCCCCCGUAACACAGGAAGGCAUCCUCCUGAGUUAGCAGUAACUGAAGGAUAAAGAUGAACAAACCACAAUUUCUUUCAUUCUCCCAACUCCUGGCUUUAGGGGCUGCUUUCUGGCUUUAAAAAUAUUGCACUGGAAUAGAACCAAGGAUCAAAUAUCUGGGACAUGAUAUCUUGAGUAAAACAGGAAAUGUCUGCUACAGAGACAAACUGAAGUUUGUGUAUAUCGUGCUGAUUCAGAAGAGAAUGAAGGCAUUUGUCAAGAGAUAAUGUCAGACUAAUCAGACAUGUUCCAAUCGAUUAAUGCAUUUGGAGGAUUUCCAAAUAUUUGCUGAUCUAAGGACGGUGAGGUAUAUGAUGGGAAACAAAUCUGAGAAAAGAAGGAUGGUAGAUGCUUUCCCAUUGUGACCUGUGAUCAUUUUGACAAUCAGGACAAGAUGUGGAGGUGGAAGACAGUGAUGUUAAUGCUCCUGACACCUGGGCAACUUCCAGUCCUGCAAGCUCUGUUCAUGGCUUGAAAGAAAAGGUCAAGUGUGGUGGCUCAUACCUGUAAUCCCAACAUGUUGGGGGGCAGAGGCGAGAGGACCACUUGAGACCAGGAGUUUGAGACCAGCCUGGGCAACAUAGCAAGGACCUGUGCCUACAAAGAAACAAAAUAAAUAAAUGAAUAAAAAGACUAUUCAAAUGAUGGAUAGUUUGGUUUUAAAAUAUGAAAAGAACCCAUAGAAACUCAAAUGAAGAAAGAGAAUCUCAGGAAACAAAGUUUAGCUUGGCAAUAAUUGAACCAAAAUCACUGGGGAUCCAUUCUUUCUCUUUUAUUUUGUAGAUGAGUUAUCUUGCAUAUAUUUCUGCAUAUUGCUUUACUUUUCUUUGCUGCAGCCUCACUUCCAACAUGAAAAUCUUAGAAUUGGCACCCUUAUAAUAUUGGUUUCCACAUAGUAUGUGGUUAAAAUGUCAUGAACUCUGACAUUAAUUAUCUGUUGUAUCUCCAGAGACUAAAUCAGUUUAUUUGAUUCUGUUUUUUAAAAUUAAUUUGUUUGUACAGUUUAUGGAGGUAUAAUUGACAUUCUAUAAAUGGCUAAUAUCUCAUAGUACAAUUUGGUAAAACAUAAUCUAUUUGUACCCCAGUAAAACCACCACCAUAAUGGAGAUAAUGAAUAUGUGCAUUAUCCUCAAAGCUUUCCUCAUGCCCUUUUAUAACCUCUUGCUUCCAGCUCUCACCUCUCUGGAUUCGUCUCUGGCAAUCUUUAUCUGCUCUCACGAUGCAUGACUGAAUUUUAUAUAAGUGAAAUCAUAUGUUUGCCUAAUUUCUUUCAUUCAUUUAACUAUUUUAACAUUCACCCAUAUAAAUGUGUAUAUCAUUAUUUAAUGCCUUUUUAACUGCUGAGAAAUACUGUAUUUUAUAGAUAUACCUCAAUUUGUUUAUCCAUUCACAUUUAGGCAAUUGGACAUUUGGGACAUUUAGGUUGUUUCUAGUUUCGAGUCUUUAAAGAUGAUGUUAAUGAUGUUACUGUGAGCAUUUAUGUACAAGUCCAUGUAUAAACAUAUGUGUUUUAAUUUGAUAAACACCUAAAAAUGGGAUGACAGAGUCAAAUGGUAGGCUUAUGUUUAACUUCUUAAGAAACUACCACAUUUUUGUUCAAAAGCAACUAUCAGAUUUUACAUUCCUGCCUGCAGUAAAUGAGAGUUCUAGUUUUUUGAUGUUUACAAUACUUGGUAAGGUCAGUCUUAAAAUUUUAGUCACUCUUACUGGUGUGUGUACUAGUAUUUCUGUGUGUUUUUUAACUUGUGAUGUUCAGAAACUGUUUCUAUGGUGAUUUACUAUGUGUACAUCUUUAUUAAAAUGGAUCUGUUCACAGUCUUGGCCAAUUUUUUUAAAAUAGGGUUGCUUGUUUUCUUAUUAAUGAGUUUUGUUUCAUUCUAUAAUGUUUAACAUUGAGAUAUAAGUCACGUGAAAUAUAAUUCACCAUUUUGAAGUGUAUAUGUCAGUGGUUUUUAGUAUAACUACACAAUAUUGUACAACAAUUAUGACUAUUUUAUUCCAGAACAUUUUCAUUAAUCCAUAAAGAAAUCACAUACCUAUUAACAAUCAUGCCUAAUCUUUUCCUCCACUCGUCUCUGGCAACCCAUCAAUCUACUCUGUUUCCCUAGAUCUGUAUAUUCUGAAAAUUUCAUAUAAAUGAAUUCAUGCAAUAGUGAUAAUUUCUGAUAUGGCUUCUUUCCAUUUAGCAUGUUUUCAAGGUUCAUCCAAAUUGUGGCAUGUGACAGGUUUUUAUUACUUUUUAUGGCUGAAAAAUUUUUCUAUAGAGUUUUGAGAAUUUUUAUAUAGCCUGGAUACACAUUAUCAGAUUCAUUAUGUGUAAAUAUGUUUGUAAUUAUUCCUGUCUGUUGCUUGUUUUUUAAUGUUUCUUACAGUGUCUUUAAUUGUUAUUAUUAUUACUAUUAUUAUUAUUACUUUGAGAUGGAGUCUCACUCUGUCUCCCAGGCUGGAGUGCGGUGGCACAAUCUCGACUCACUGCAACCU
rnacentral:lncRNA from 10 species